rnacentral:rRNA from 1 species
UGAGUAACCUGCCCUUAACUCUGGGAUAAGCCUGUGAAACUGGGUCUAAUACCGGAUAUGACUCCUCAUCGCAUGGUGGGGGGUGGAAAGCCUUAUUGUGGUUUUGGAUGGACUCGCGGCCUAUCAGCUUGUUGGUGAGGUAAUGGCUCACCAAGGCGACGACGGGUAGCCGGCCUGAGAGGGUGACCGGCCACACUGGGACUGAGACACGGCCCAGACUCCUACGGGAGCAG